GGGGAAUAUUGGACAAUGGGGGGAACCCUGAUCCAGCAAUGCCGCGUGUGUGAAGAAGGCCUGAGGGUUGUAAAGCACUAUCAGUGGGGAGGAGUAUUGAUUGGUUAAGAGCUGAUUGAUAGGACGUUACCCACAGAAGAAGCACCGGCUAACUCCGUGCCAGCAGCCGCGGUAAUACGGAGGGUGCGAGCGUUAAUCGGAAUUACUGGGCGUAAAGGGUGCGUAGGUUGUUGAAUAAGUUAUCUGUGAAAUUCCUGGGCUUAACCUGGGCAUGUCAGAUAAUACUGUUUGACUCGAGUAUGGGAGAGGGCAGUGGAAUUUCCGGUGUAGCGGUGAAAUGCGUAGAGAUCGGAAGGAACACCAGUGGCGAAGGCGACUGCCUGGCCUGUUACUGACACUGAGGCACGAAAGCGUGGGGAGCAAAC
rnacentral:rRNA from 1 species